rnacentral:misc_RNA from 1 species
GGUAUACUACGGGAUCAUGUUAUGUCUUACAGAGAGGUAGGGUGUGACAAUAACUACAUAGAAAUAAUUAAUAAACAUUUAUUUAAGGCCUCAUAAUUAAGCUAAUACAGCAAAAUUAAUUAAAUUAAUUUUACAAACAAUUAAUUUAAUUAAUAGCAGGCCCAAAAAUAAUUAACAAACUAAAAUAAUUAUUUUUGUUGCAAAUAGAUAGGAUUAGAAAUUAAAAAAGAGAGGUAAGGGAUAAUAAUUUCUCACUCCUUAAAACUUUUUCUUUUCUUUUUCAAUUUUUAGAAUUAAUUGUUGUUAUUAGGUCAAAAGAAAAAGAAUAAUCUUAGAAUUAUAGUUUUUUAUUUUGUUUAUUGGAUUAAUUAUUGAAUUCAUUAACUCCCAAACAAAA